UCCCUGGUGGCCUAGUGGUUAGGAUUUGGUGCUUUCACUGCUGUGACCCAGGUUCAAUCCCUGGUCUGGGAA
rnacentral:tRNA from 1 species